rnacentral:rRNA from 1 species
GACGAACGCUGGCGGCGUGCCUAAUACAUGCAAGUCGAACGCAGUGGGGACGGGUGAGUAACACGUGGGUAACCUCCCAUCAGAGGGGAAAACACUUGGAAACAGGUGCUAAACCGAGACUGAUGGAUGGACCCGCGGUGAAUUAGCUAGUUGGUGAGGUAACGGCUCACCAAGGCCACGAUGCAUAGCCGCCCUGAGAGGGGGAUCAGCCACACUGCGAGUGCGACACGGCCCAGACUCCUACGGGAGGCAGCAGUAGGGAAUCUUCGGCAAUGGACGAAAGUCUGACCGAGCAACGCCGCGUGAGUUAAGAAGGUUUUCGGAUCGUUAAACUCUGUUGUUAGAGAGGCGGUAUCUAACCAGGAAGCCACGGCUAACUACGUGCCAGCAGCCGCGGUAAUAC